CCCAUGGCUCAGAUUGAACGCUGGCGGCAGGCCUAACACAUGCAAGUCGAGCGGAUGACAGGAGCUUGCUCCUGAAUUCAGCGGCGGACGGGUGAGUAAUGCCUAGGAAUCUGCCUGGUAGUGGGGGACAACGUUUCGAAAGGAACGCUAAUACCGCAUACGUCCUACGGGAGAAAGCAGGGGACCUUCGGGCCUUGCGCUAUCAGAUGAGCCUAGGUCGGAUUAGCUAGUUGGUGAGGUAAUGGCUCACCAAGGCGACGAUCCGUAACUGGUCUGAGAGGAUGAUCAGUCACACUGGAACUGAGACACGGUCCAGACUCCUACGGGAGGCAGCAGUGGGGAAUAUUGGACAAUGGGCGAAAGCCUGAUCCAGCCAUGCCGCGUGUGUGAAGAAGGUCUUCGGAUUGUAAAGCACUUUAAGUUGGGAGGAAGGGCAGUAACUUAAUACGUUGCUGUCUUGACGUUACCGACAGAAUAAGCACCGGCUAACU
rnacentral:rRNA from 1 species